ensembl:snoRNA small nucleolar RNA SNORA48
UCCCCCGGACAAACUGGGCAAGGCGGUGUCUAGUCAGUGGCGCAGAGUUCUAUAUCUGUCAGGGGGAGAGUAAACCAAGUCCAUGUUCAUCCCAGUCACCUCUGUGCAGUGAGCUCAAGGCUGGUUCAUGCCAUGGACACAGCG